UACGAAGGGGGCUAGCGUUGUUCGGAAUUACUGGGCGUAAAGCGCACGUAGGCGGACUACUAAGUCAGGGGUGAAAUCCCGGGGCUCAACCCCGGAACUGCCUUUGAUACUGAUAGUCUCGAGUCCGGAAGAGGUGAGUGGAAUUCCGAGUGUAGAGGUGAAAUUCGUAGAUAUUCGGAGGAACACCAGUGGCGAAGGCGGCUCACUGGCCCGGUACUGACGCUGAGGAGCGAAAGCCAGGGGAGCAAACGGG
rnacentral:rRNA from 1 species